GUAGAUUCUCCUUCUAUGAGUACAAUAUUAAUGACUAAUCGUAGAGGAAAAUCCACGU
rnacentral:pre_miRNA from 2 species